rnacentral:misc_RNA from 1 species
UCACUUAUCAAGCCUGGCUUGCUGUUGGAUCGGUCGCUGUCCCCGUACAGUGCUGGUUCGAAAGAUAAUGGCGGUGUCGAGUCGACCCCUUGUACAAUGAGCUUAACUGCACGUACGAGUGGAUAGUUGGCCGGCCCCGGUUCAAACUUUAAUUCAACCUCUAAA